rnacentral:rRNA from 1 species
CCUACGGGGGGCAGCAGUGAGGAAUAUUGGUCAAUGGGCGCGAGCCUGAACCAGCCACGCAGCGUGAAGGAUGACUGCUCUCCGGGUUGUAAACUCUUUUUAUAAAGGAAUAAAGUGAGGCACGUGUGCCUUUUUGUAUGUACUUUAUGAAUAAGGAUCGGCUAACUCCGUGCCAGCAGCCGCGGUAAUACGGAGGAUCCGAGCGUUAGCCGGAUUUAUUGGGUUUAAAGGGAGCGUAGAUGGGUUGUUAAGUCAGUUGUGAAAGUUUGCGACUCAACCGUAAAAUUGCAAUUGAUACUGGCAGCCUUGAGUACAGUUGAGGUAGGCGGAAUUCGUGGUGUAGCGGUGAAAUGCUUAGAUAUCACGAAGAACUCCGAUUGCGAAGGCAGCUUACUAAACUGCCACUGACAUUGAUGCUCGAAAGUGUGGGUAUCAAACAGGAUUAGAUACCCUAGUAGUC